rnacentral:rRNA from 1 species
GGCUUAACACAUGCAAGUCGAGGGGCAGCAUUUUAGUUUGCUUGCAAACUGAGGAUGGCGACCGGCGCACGGGUGAGUAACACGUAUCCAACCUACCGAUAACUCCGGAAUAGCCUUUCGAAAGAAAGAUUAAUACCGGAUAGCAUACGAAUAUCGCAUGAUAUUUUUAUUAAAGAAUUUCGGUUAUCGAUGGGGAUGCGUUCCAUUAGUUUGUUGGCGGGGUAACGGCCCACCAAGACUACGAUGGAUAGGGGUUCUGAGAGGAAGGUCCCCCACAUUGGAACUGAGACACGGUCCAAACUCCUACGGGAGGCAGCAGUGAGGAAUAUUGGUCAAUGGGCGAGAGCCUGAACCAGCCAAGUAGCGUGAAGGAUGAAGGCUCUAUGGGUCGUAAACUUCUUUUAUAUGGGAAUAAAGUUUUCCACGUGUGGAAUUUUGUAUGUACCAUAUGAAUAAGGAUCGGCUAACUCCGUGCCAGCAGCCGCGGUAAUACGGAGGAUCCGAGCGUUAUCCGGAUUUAUUGGGUUUAAAGGGAGCGUAGGUGGAUUGUUAAGUCAGUUGUGAAAGGUUGCGGCUCAACCGUAAAAUUGCAGUUGAAACUGACAGUCUUGAGUACAGUAGAGGUGGGCGGAAUUCGUGGUGUAGCGGUGAAAUGCUUAGAUAUCACGAAGAACUCCGAUUGCGAAGGCAGCUCACUAGACUGUCACUGACACUGAUGCUCGAAAGUGUGGGUAUCAAACAGGAUUAGAUACCCUGGUAGUCCACACAGUAAACGAUGAAUACUCGCUGUUUGCGAUAUACAGUAAGCGGCCAAGCGAAAGCAUUAAGUAUUCCACCUGGGGAGUACGCCGGCAACGGUGAAACUCAAAGGAAUUGACGGGGGCCCGCACAAGCGGAGGAACAUGUGGUUUAAUUCGAUGAUACGCGAGGAACCUUACCCGGGCUUAAAUUGCAACAGAAUAUAUUGGAAACAGUAUAGCCGUAAGGCUGUUGUGAAGGUGCUGCAUGGUUGUCGUCAGCUCGUGCCGUGAGGUGUCGGCUUAAGUGCCAUAACGAGCGCAACCCCUAUCUUUAGUUACUAACAGGUUAUGCUGAGGACUCUAGAGAGACUGCCGUCGUAAGAUGUGAGGAAGGUGGGGAUGACGUCAAAUCAGCACGGCCCUUACGUCCGGGGCUACACACGUGUUACAAUGGGGGGUACAGAGGGCGGCUACCUGGUGACAGGAUGCUAAUCCCAAAAACCUCUCUCAGUUCGGAUCGAAGUCUGCAACCCGACUUCGUGAAGCUGGAUUCGCUAGUAAUCGCGCAUCAGCCAUGGCGCGGUGAAUACGUUCCCGGGCCUUGUACACACCGCCCGUCAAGCCAUGAAAGCCGGGGGUACCUGAAGUACGUAACCGCAAGGAGCGUCCUAGGGUAAAACUGGUAAUUGGGGCUAAG